AUACGUAGGGGGCGAGCGUUGUCCGGAAUUACUGGGCGUAAAGGGUUCGCAGGCGGCAUGACAAGUCCGAUGUAAAAGGCGAAAGCUCAACUUUCGUAAGCAUCGGAAACUGUCAAACUUGAGUGAAGGAGAGGCAAGUGGAAUUCCUAGUGUAGCGGUGGAAUGCGUAGAUAUUAGGAGGAAUACCGGUGGCGAAGGCGACUUGCUGGACUUCAACUGACGCUGAGGAACGAAAGCGUAGGUAGCAAACAGGAUUAGAUACCCUGGUAGUCCACGCCGUAAACGAUGAGUGCUAGGUGUCGGGGGUCAAACCUCGGUGCCGUCGUUAACACACUAAGCACUCCGCCUGGGGAGUACGUGCGCAAGCAUGAA
rnacentral:rRNA from 1 species